UAUACGAUGAAGAGUUUGAUCCUGGCUCAGGAUGAACGCUAGCGGCAGGCUUAACACAUGCAAGUCGAGGGGUAGAAGGGGCUUGCUCCUUCGAGACCGGCGCACG
rnacentral:rRNA from 1 species